CGACUAAGAAAAACCACGAUCCCACCUAAAGAGAUAACUCCCUAGUUCCUCCCACCUCCCUAAACUCUCCUCUUUCUUCGAUUUGAAACCACUUUGAAACUAUCUGCAGAGGAGGCAAUAUUUCAGAUUCGGAUUUAGAAAAGCCAUCAAUUUCAUCUGGACAUCAUCGGUUUCAUCCGCUCAGAUUGUAUCUCCGCAAGCUGGUCUUCUUGGAGUUCACUUAUUCUUCUAAGUGGUUGUGCUGCUGUUACUUUGCUGCUGUACAUUCAAGGUAAAUGUUACAUGACAGUGGAAUCUGUUUUGCAAUUGUAGUUUUUGUAUGAGCAAGAAAACUAGUGCAGGACGGCUUCAAACUAGUGCAAGACGGCUUCAAUGGUAGCUUAAUAGUAGUGGACAAGUUAAAUUUUGGUUUUGCGCAAUUCAUCAAUAUUUUCUGGUAGAAUAGAGGUUCUAAGGGAUAGUUUUGGUUUAUCGGUCCUGAAAAUUAACACUUCUCACGGCAAACUGUUUUACCUGGUUUUGUUUUUUUAGUAUUAGAUGUUAUUGUUAUUCUUUUAUUUUUUAGAAUGAUUAAAGAGAAUAUGGAGAUGGGUUGAUAAGGACCUGCUUCUUCAGAGUAUGAGGAAGGGUUGAAUGCAUUCCUAGAAUCAUAAGCUGGGUUGAUAAGGACCCUGCAUCUUCGGAGUAUGAGCAUAUCCAUAAACAUUUGUGGCAGAGUUUUAUCUAGAAUCAUAAGCUUUCUUCACUGCAUUUUGUUUUGUAGAGCGACCUCCUACAUCCAGAGCCAUAGAAUUGUGAUCUUACUACACGAAUCCAAGGUUAAUUUCAUUUAGAGAUUUUAUGUUCAAGGCUUUGUUGGAAGAUAUAUGACAUCCAUCUGUGAGAACUUGGAGUAUUUUGUUUUUGCAUAUCGGACUCAAAAUUGUUUAGUAUUAAGUUUUUUUUUUGCUUUUAUUGAAUGUAAUCGAUCAGACAACCAUGUAGUACUUGUAUUGUUUUGUUUUUUUAAUGAAUAUAUUGUGUUUUUUGAA